rnacentral:rRNA from 1 species
UACGUAGGGUGCGAGCGUUAAUCGGAAUUACUGGGCGUAAAGCGUGCGCAGGCGGUUCGUUGUGUCGGCGGUGAAAGCCUCGGGCUUAACCUGGGAAUGGCCGUUGAAACUGGCGAACUGGAGUGUGGCAGAGGGGGGUGGAAUUCCGCGUGUAGCAGUGAAAUGCGUAGAGAUGCGGAGGAACACCGAUGGCGAAGGCAGCCCCCUGGGCUAACACUGACGCUCAGGCACGAAAGCGUGGGGAGCAAACAGG